CUAUGUAAUUUUUGGCAUAGAAAAUCUAGGGGUUGAUGUGUGGGGAUGUUAUUUUUCUGCUGCUGAACGUGCUGUUUUGAGAAAAAAGAUGGUCUCUGAUCGAUAUGUUUUUUUUAGACAAUCUCUGAUCGAUAUGUAGGGAAGGUUGACAGGUCUCUGCCUGCCCAGCGCGAUUUCCGGCUCCAUCCCGCGCACCGGCCACCGGGUGGCGCUCGCGAUCGCCCGCUCGCGCGCUUAACCGGUUGCGCUCCGCCUUAACGGGCGCCACACGUUAAAAUACGGUGCACACGUCGCCCAAUAGUUCGGUCCAUUAUUUAAUUUACGGUUCGCGUUUCGUCCAUCCGUCCGUCACUCGUACGUCGUCUAACCCCACGUGCAAUUAACCAACCGAGAUCCCCGAACAGCCUCGUUCCCAUCCCAGCACGAUUACCUCCAACGAUCCCGCAAUUACCUCCCCACCCACUAUGGGUGGCCAACGGGCCGGUCCGGCCCCUGCUAAACGGGCCUAGCCGGAGCCCAGCCCAAAAACUCCUCCUCCAAGCCCAUGCGCAGCACCAAGCCCGGACGGCCCGGCCCGUUAAGCUUGACCGGGCUAGCAAGGUCUCUCACGCCAAAUGUACAAAAAUAAAAAAACCUUAGAUUUGGGCCAAAACUGCUUGAGAUGAUAGGCCAAAUGUAAAAAUAAGUUAGCUUAGACCAGAUUUUUGAGAGUUGAUGGAUCAAAUGAAGGAAAUCUAAAAAAUAAAAAAGAUAAUCGGGCCGUGCUAGGCAGGCCUUGGUCCGGCCAGAUUAAUUCUCAUCCUUUCCUCUCCUUUUGGCCCAGUUCGACUACCAACAUCAACAUCUUGGCCCAGCCACAGGCCUGCCUCCUCCCCUCCUUCCGCAGGCCUAUGACAUUCUGGAUCGAGAGCCAUCGACUCAUCGAGGCCA
rnacentral:lncRNA from 1 species